rnacentral:rRNA from 1 species
CACGUAGGGCGCAAGCGUUGUCCGGAAUUAUUGGGCGUAAAGAGCUCGUAGGCGGUUUGUCACGUCGGCUGUGAAAACCCGAGGCUCAACCUCGGGCCUGCAGUCGAUACGGGCAGACUAGAGUGCUGUAGGGGGAGACUGGAAUUCCUGGUGUAGCGGUGAAAUGCGCAGAUAUCAGGAGGAACACCGGUGGCGAAGGCGGGCCUCUGGGCAGUAACUGACGCUGAGGAGCGAAAGCGUGGGGAGCAAACAGG